CUUUUCCAACAAAUCACUGAGUACCUCCAUAACAGUGAUCAACCAGAGAUUGCCUGAGACUGAAGGUGUUUCUGGGAUGCUCAACCUUUAUUACUAACCAGGAAAGACUCAGGCAAACUGAGAUGGACUUUUCACCCCACAUACAGACAGGAGGAAAAGCUGAUUCUUGUAUAAAAGUCAAUGCUUGUGCCUGAACUACCUCUCAGCCACAAUGAUCACCAGAUACUACCUUUGGUUGCUCCUCCAGGUUCCGAGAAGUAAAGCUUUGGAGGUCACAAAAUUAGCAAUAGAAGCUGGGUUCCGCCAUAUAGAUUCUGCUCAUUUAUACAAUAAUGAGGAGCAGGUUGGACUGGCCAUCCGAAGCAAGAUUGCAGAUGGCAGUGUGAAGAGAGAAGACAUAUUCUACACUUCAAAGCUUUGGUCCACUUUUCAUCGACCAGAGUUGGUCCGACCAGCCUUGGAAAACUCGCUGAAAAAAGCUCAAUUGGACUAUGUUGACCUCUAUCUUAU
rnacentral:sRNA from 1 species